GAUUCUGGCUCAGGAUGAACGCUAGCGGCAGGCUUAACACAUGCAAGUCGAGGGGCAUCGGGAGUAGCAAUACUUGCCGGCGACCGGCGCAAGGGUGCGUAACGCGUGAGCAACAUGCCCGUAUCAGGGGGAUAAUCCAUGGAAACGUGGUCUAAUACCCCAUAGUAAUUAUGUAAGGCAUCUUAUAUAAUUUAAAGCUUUGGUGGAUACGGAUUGGCUCGCGUGACAUUAGCUGGAUGGUAAGGUAACGGCUUACCAUGGCUACGAUGUCUAGGGGUUCUGAGAGGAAGGUCCCCCACACUGGAACUGAGACACGGUCCAGACUCCUACGGGAGGCAGCAGUGAGGAAUAUUGGACAAUGGAUGGAAAUCUGAUCCAGCCAUGCCGCGUGCAGGAAGACGGCCCUAUGGGUUGUAAACUGCUUUUGUAUGGGAGCAAUAAGGGCUACGUGUAGUCCGAUGAGAGUACCAUACGAAUAAGCACCGGCUAACUCCGUGCCAGCCGCCGC
rnacentral:rRNA from 1 species